rnacentral:tRNA from 1 species
CGGGCUGUGGCUCAGUGGGAGAGCACUUGCCUGGCAUGUGUGAGGCACUGGGUUCAAUUCUCAGCACCACAU